UUAUUGUUUUGGAAAGAAACUACAAUUGGACUUACGACAUACAUGCAUAGUUGCCAAUGAUAAUUUGCAUUUAAUUUUGAUAAACAGUCUUUUAAAAUAAAUAUUAAACGUGUUUGCUUCUCAAUAAUAUGUGUCAUGUAAAACGAUUACAUUUUAUAUGCAUAAAUGUUUAACUGUCAUGCAUAUAUAUCAUGUGUAUUCGCCGUUAAACAACAUACGUUCUAAAAUUCUUUAUUGUAAUAUAUAUUACAAUGGGUCCUCCAAAAAGUUUAGAUGCAUCAAGGUAUGUUGCUUGUAAACAAAAACAAGUUUGUAUGUUAAACCCCAAUCUUUAAAAUGUAUUCUUAUGUAUUUCAGAAAACACAGGGAUGGAAGCUGUUAUUAUUAUUCUUUUAAUAACUAACGUUGUUAUAAUAAUAGCUGCAUGCGUGUUCUUUAAAAUGACAAGUAAGAAGUUAAAUAUAUCAGAUAAAGGUUUAAAAAUAUUAUUUCUCCCAAUACAAGCUUAUAGUAACAUUAAUGGUACCAUUUUUCGGCACAAGAUGCGCAUUUUACCAAUUUAUGUCUCCUGAUUGAUGCUCGAUGACAAUAUAUUUUAAAUAAAAAUAAACUUAUUAAAACAUGAAGAGCUUAUAAUCCAAAAAAGAUUAGUACCACUAUGCGUCAAAAAUUCAUAUUGCGGUGACACAGCAAUGAACUGCACAACAGAACUCAUUCAGCAAAAUUAUGCAAUUCACCUGAUGUAUGAUUGUAGUUGUUUAUCAAGUUAAACAAAUAACCAUGCACAAAUGCCAUUUUCAGUUAUACUUAAAUAUUAGACAUAACAGAGAUGAAAAACUAGUGAACCUUUUUCGAUAAUGGAGUUUAAUAUUACUAGUAGUUGGUUCAUUCAGUCCAGUUAACUUUUUUUUUUCCCAACAAUAUACUAUGAGUGAAAUCGAAAACAAUAAUAAUGGAACAUACUAGUAAUCAAACACAAAAACCAAAAUCUUUUUAUUUUAAAGGGUAGGAAUACAACAUAUUUGAUACAAACCACUGUUCAAAAUAAAAAUAAGGCGAUGAGGUAUGAUUGCCAAUGAGACAACUAUCCACCAAAGUUCAAAUAAAGUGGAUGUUAGCAAGUAUAAAUAACCGUACGGCCUUCAAAAAUGAGAAAAACCCAUACUGUAUAGUCGACUAUAAAAGGCCCAGACAUAAAAAAUAUAAAACAAGUAAAUUGAAAAAACUUAUGGACUAAUUUUUAACAAAACAAUCAACGAAAUACAAAACAAAACAAGUGUACUUUAUUAGUAUUUUGUCUUCCAUGCAGGACCACAAAACUAUCAUGAAAGAAUUUCGACACAAGAAUAUCCAUUUACUGAGAGAUUUUCGAUGGAGCAAUAUGCCCUUACCAAUUUAGACACAGUAUCAAAAAGAAAGAGUGAAAAAGAAUGAAAAAGAAAAAAAAAGGAGUAAAAUACUGUCUGUUCACCUUGAAACGACUUUAAUAGUGACGGCAAAUUGCUUGUACAUAGUGUAAUACGACAAUCAUACAGAAUCGUCGGUGAAUUUCAUAUGACGACAACUUCGACAAACGCCCUAUGGGAAUAAUGAAUGUGUCAUAGCUUAAAAACAUGACUGAACUAACAAUGCUUUAACAGCUUAAUUUUGAGGAUUACUAGAAAGUGAUAAUGAAGAGUGCAUGGAGUGAGAGUUAUUUAAAGUAUUCCUUCUAUCAGACUUGAUUAGAAUGGUCACCGAUAUUAUUGAUUCAAGGAUAAACAAUUCAAUUCAAAUAUUUUACUGCCUUGGAGUUUAAUUAACAAUCUAAGCAAUAUAUGUGUAAAAGAAAACUGACACAAAGGUGAAAUAUUUUUCAAUGAAAUGUUUUUUGUGUCUCGUUACCAGUUCGUACCAGCGACUGCUUUAUUAUUUAUGUGUAAGCUUUACUUAAAUUGUUUCUAGGACGAAAAUGUAUACUAUUAAGUUGUUCAAUUCAGUUUAUUAAGAGACCUGAAUGUUUUUAUAUCUAUCGCCUUAUAACUUUUAUUAGAAUUUGUUUCUCUCUUCUUAAAUAGCUUUCAAUAUUUAAUUUGACCUAAAAAAAAAAAGAUUUAUAUUCUUUCAGGACAAAACAAAACUUAUCAUGAACUUUGUCUAAACCAAAGAAACUUUUGUAUUACCAAAACAUAUCUCAAAAUCGGCUGUGAAUAAAGUUAAACUGUUCCGGACAAAAGUCAUUUCUGGGUUAACGUCAAUGAGACAAUUACCAAAAAUAAAAUACAUCAAGAAACAAACUACUGUAAUAAUUACAAAAUGUACACUUGAAAAUGAAAAGUAUAUUAAACAAUUAUGUUACAUUAGAUACCUAUUAUAUUUAUAAGGAAGCGAUAUCAUUUACAACAUUGUACAAAGGAAUAUUACAUUUUUGAACAAAGAGUUUAAUGUAUUCACGUAAAUACAUAUAUGUAUCAUGUGUAUAUAAUAUUUCCAAGUUAACUUGUAUGAUAAAAUGAAUAAUUUUGCAACUUCUAUAGCAGCAGAGGGCUAAUGUUUAAAUCUAUUAAAUGUAAAUAAGAUUAAAUAUAGUUUACCGGUUUAUUAUAGUAUCUGAGAAACAGACAUCAUCAUUAAAAGUUUAACUUUGACCAAUAAACCAUGAGAAUGAGAUCAAGGUCAGAUGAACUCUGCCUAUAGGACAUAUACACCAAACAAUCAUCCCAUACACUAAUGCAGUUGACCUAUUGCUUAAAAUAUUGGAGAUGUUGAGGUCAGAUGAACCCUGUCUGGUGGACAUGCCGACCUUUGGAAGAUUUCAUAUACCACAUCUGGUUAUUUUUAUACUCAUAAUAAGUGAGUAUUACACAUGAAAAAACAAAUCUGAAAUUUUUUUUAGCAGUCUAUGACCAUAAUAAGGUGGUGAAGGACAAUUGACGUAUGAUAAACAUUGAAUUCGUUACAUAAUGCAUCUACAUACAAGGUGAAAUGCAUCUUAGGCGUAAACCGUUGAAAUAUAACGAUUUAUACAAAUAGUUUAUGCCGCUGCUGGACAGUUAUCCCUAUGUCCCGUAUUCUGCGAUUUUUGUUGCAGGCGAUACAGACAGUCAUAUUUCCAAAAGUCUAAAUGACUUUUGGCAUUUUAUUCCAUCUGCUUUCCCUGAUUGAUGACCCUUGACUCUUGUGUCGACGAAACAUUCGUCUAAAGUACAAAAUCAAAAGCCUUGUAUCUUUUAUAAAUUUUGUGAAAGUAAAAGUAACAAUAAAAGUUCAGAGUUUAAAGAUUACAUUGCUUUAGAGUUUUUUUUAAGUAGCAAGUGACAUAUUACAGCUGACUUCCUCAGUUGCUGCUUUAGUAAGAUUGCAAAUGUUAACUUGCUGUGUUGACCACAAGUCUGACCGAGAGGUCGAGAUAAAUAGCAACAACAAAAUAGCCUAGCCUUGCUUAGAGUUAAUGCCGAUAAUGAAAUCACAUUAAUGAAGUAAACAUAAUAAAAAAUGUCAAAGAAAAAUAACCAAAAAAAAAAAAAAAAAAAAACACAACAAAAA